GAUGAACGCUGGCGGCGUGCCUAAUACAUGCAAGUCGAGCGAACAGAUGAGGAGCUUGCUCCUCUGACGUUAGCGACGGACGGGUGAGUAACACGUGGAUAACCUACCUAUAAGACUGGGAUAACUUCGUGAAACCGGAGCUAAUACCGGAUAAUAUAUUGAACCGCAUGGUUCAAUAGUGAAAGACGGUUUUGCUGUCACUUAUAGAUGGAUCCGCGCCGCAUUAGCUAGUUGGUAAGGUAACGGCUUACCAAGGCAACGAUGCGUAGCCGACCUGAGAGUGUGAUCGGCCACCCUGGAACUGAGACACGGUCCGGACUCCUACGGGAGGCAGCAGUAGGGAAUCGGCCGCAAUGGGCGAAAGCCUGAAGGAGCAACGCCGCGUGAGUGAUGAAGGUCUUCGGAUCGUAGAACUCUGUUAUUAGGGAAGAACAAAUGUGUAAGUAGCUAUGCACGUCUUGACGGUACCUAAUCAGAAAGCCACGGCUAACUACGUG
rnacentral:rRNA from 1 species